CUCUCUUAUCAGUCCGACCCCCCUACGCUAACACAUAAGCAGCAUUUUUUAAAGUCAAACAAUUAGCUUGGACAUAAAGUAUAAGGAGACUAAAUAUAUGGACAGGCAACCAAAUGAAACUCAAUUGAAGUAUUCACGAAUAGUUGUAGCAAGAUUAACGAAUGUGCUUUUAAGAUUCAUCAAUGAAACAUAAAGGUAACAACAGGAACAAACUACAAAUGCAACAUAAAGACAACUAAUUGGCCAUGCAUGAUCGAGAAAGAGACAGACAGAGACAGGUAAGGACCCAGAAAUGGAACACAGGAUCAUAAAACUACCGAAAGAACUAUAAACAAUAGGAUGUUACACAUGAUUUUACCAUUUGAAAGUAAACUAAGUACCACGCGAGAAAAGUUUGAAAAAUUAAUAACCGAGCCAAUUGUGUGAAAAGACUAUAGAGUAUCAUUUUCUGAUUUAAUCCAAAAACAAAUAUAAUGUGUAUUUCAUCUAACUAAGAGAAUUAAAUUCUUUGACACUAGCUCUAAAAGUUAAUCCAAGGCCUCAAAUUGAAUCCACGAUAAGAUUUCUGACAUUAGAGGCUUAUUUUGUUCCUAAUAACAAUAACAUAUGUGAAUUUCUAAACCUCCUCUUUACUUCCCCCCCAAAGCCUCUUCUCAAUCCCAACCCAAAAAACAUGGAAAAGGAAAUGAUUUCACUUAAUUAAGCAUCUUCAGACGUAUGACUGAUACCUCAGGA
rnacentral:misc_RNA from 1 species